ensembl:snoRNA
GAGCAUCCUUAAACCCCCUGGUUGCCAUUUGUGGUCUCUGGGACACAAAAGGGUGCAAGAUCAACUUUAGGAUUAUCCAAAGCAGAGAGCCGUGUGUCAGUGGCUCUCGGCUAUUUCACCCCUAAGACAUAA